rnacentral:misc_RNA from 1 species
CAAUGGCUACUGCCAGGCCGCCGAGCGUCAUGGAAUUAACCGACACCCCGAACCAUUUGAAAACGAGCAUCGCCGUGACAAACGACAACGGCAUCGCCGUGAGCGUGAUGAAGGUGGUGCGGAAAUUCAGCAGGAACAGAAAGAGCACCACCGUCACCAUGAUCGCGCCGUCCCGAAUCGCUUCCUGAAGAUUGCCGACGGCGUGCGAAAUGAAAUCUCCCUGCCGGAAAAGCACGGUCACCUCCACGCCGGCCGGCAGCGACGGCUUCAGUUCCUCCAGCGCUUUUUCAACGGCCGCGGUGAGCUU